GUCUACAACCAUGCCACCUUGAACGUGCCCGAUCUCAUCUGAUUUCUGAAGCUAAGCAGGGUUGGGCCUGGUUGGUACUUGGAUAGGAGACCACCUAGGAAUACCAAGUGCUGUAGGCA
ensembl:rRNA 5S_rRNA 5S ribosomal RNA